UUCAAAUGUUCAACUUAAAAAAAAAACCUCCCAUCCUCUGAUUCCCUCCCCAACCCAUUUUUUCACUAUCUCACUCUGAAACUGAAAUGACGCCUCCCCUCAACCUUUUCCCUCUCAUAGAGCCGUUGUCGCUGAUAUCGUCUCAUCGCCGGAUCUUCUACGUCCGCCCGCUCCUACACCUUCUCUAUGUCUCGUUGCUGGUGUGCAUCUUUCAAGCCGCUGUCACAGAGCCAUUGUCGUUGAUAUCGUCCUAUCGCUGGCUCCUCUACGUCCGCCAGCUCUUGCGCUUUCACUACGUCUCUCUGCUCGUUGUCUCGUCAGUCUCUCUGCUCAUUGUCUCGUUGUCUCGUGUGUGUUUCUCAAUCAUCUUCAGUUUUGCGCCUUCCUCUUCAUCUUUCGCCAUCGUCAGUCUCUGCAUAGUCACUGUCUUUUGUCUUGUCUGUUGCCUCCCCCUAUCCAGUCUCUGCUUCACCAUGCAUGGUCUCCCUCUUCUCUGCCUGCUUUUUGCCUUCACAUCAUCAAGUGUUGCCUGCUCCUCUCCAGGAACUGGAUUUUUCAUUCCAAUGAAAAAAAAAGCUAGUGAUUAGCUAAAAAAUUAAAUGAAAAUAAUUUCGCUAGAUAACUAACAGGGGUCCAGCCAACUCCUACCAACUCCUAUUGGGCUGGACCCCAAAGCCUACUAAAAAAAGAUCAUCCCAUUUACCUUAAUUCAAAUUUGACCUGAUACCUUUUCACUUAUCCCCUUUUCACUACGUUCUUAUUCUUCCAGGCGUCAACGACACCAUCUUCAUUGCCGAGCCUCCGUUACCCACAGUCUAUGCCACCGUCCGACAGGCAUCCUCAGAGCCACAUUUGCUACAACCUGCGCAACCGAGUUAUCCCCCACUCGCAAGGAAGCCGCCGUCUUAUCCACCACAACACAGCCUCGCCGCUGCUGCUUCUCAUAGAGGUCCACAUCGCCGAAGUGCCGACGCUGUAGCUUCUCAUUGAGGUCAAUGUCACCGCGUGGAGCCCUUCUCGUCGAAAGGCAUCGACGCUGUACGCCCACCUCCAGGCCACCUAGCAAGUGCCUCUGUGCCAACAUUGCCUCGCCGCCCCGCCGCGUCUCGUAGCCAACCAUCACACGCCGCUGCUGCUUUAAUCACUCAGGUGUUCUCCAAUUGGUCAUCCUAAAGGAGUUCCAAAAGAAAAUAAUGCUCGAAAUAGUUCUGGGUCCUAAGAAUUCAUUCAUUGAACAAGCUUUGAAGGCAUUGAACGACCAUCCUAUACGCCGCAACCAAUCCAGAAACAAGUUUAAAGAGGUGAGAACUCCCUUCACAACACCGAGUAUGAAGACCAUGCUCCAGCAGGCGGGGUUACCUACAAAAAAGCCUUGCAAGGGAGAAAGACAAUAGAAGAAAGAUGCCUAGAAAAUUCAUGAUAAUAUAUACAUGGGAUGCCGUCAUCGAGUGAGACACUUUUGAUACAUUUUCCUUAUUUUAUUGUGUUUAUUCAGUUACACUUUGGGUACAUUUUUCUUUUUUUUUUUUAAAUCCUACUCGGCAUGUUUUUUCGUGUAGGUACCUGAUUAUUUUUGCAAAGAUUUAAGUGGACGUUACUUCUGUUAAGUAUCGG